rnacentral:snRNA from 1 species
GUGUUCCCUUCAGCGGCACAGAUACUAAAAUGGGAAUGAUACAGAGAAGAUUAGCAUGGCCCCUAAACAAGAAUGACAUGCAAAUUCAUGAGUGUUCCAUAUUUUU